CCCUACCCCUAGCCGCCACAGCCAUCUCUCCCUCUCUUCUCCUUCAGCCGACGUACACACGCUCCCUGUCUUCUUCCUCACGGUGGCCAGCAGGGAGCUCGGCCAGCAGCCAUGGCCUCCUCCACUUCUUCCCCAUGGAAGCCGGCUCCCUCUCCAUGCUCCCUCCCUAGCCGAGCACCUCCAGCAGCCAUGGCCGAGCUUCUUUUCUCCCCUGCUGUCCCCCUGCGCGCAGGGAGCACCAAGGCCAGCGCCCCCUUCCUCCCAUGGCGUGCGUGGAGCCGCCCCCUACGGCCAGCGCCACUGCGACCUCUAGCCCCUGUGCUCGGCGUCCUUCUUCCACCUCCGGCCGACCUCCACCUUCCUGCUCCAUGGCUGCCCAGCAGCAGGAAACUUUCUCCCCUCCCUGCUCCAUUUUUUUCCCUGUGCCCUCCUCUGCAAACAGCGAGCCCCCUCCUCGCUGUUCUCCGUGGUGCCCGCCGGCUGUUCGUAAAAAUGUGCAGCAAGCCGCAUGCUGCCGGCUCGCUGUUUUGUGAAGCCCGGUGGACAGCACGUCGUGACGCUCGCCGGGCGUUUGCUGUUUUUGGCGCAGACCCGCUCGCGAUGUCAUCGACCCUCG
rnacentral:misc_RNA from 1 species